rnacentral:rRNA from 1 species
GAUGAACGCUGGCGGCGUGCCUAACGCAUGCAAGUCGAGCGAGGACUGCCCGGUGGUCAACACCGGGUUGUGCCUAGCGGCGAACGGGUGAGUAACACGUGGGUAACCUGCCCCCGACACCGGGAUAAGCCCGGGGAAACUGGGUCUAAUACCGGAUAUGACUCCACGGUGCAUGUCGUGGGGUGGAAAGCCUUGUGCGGCUGAGGAUGGGGCCCGUGGCCUAUCAGCUUGUUGGUGGGGUGANGGCCUACCAAGGCGACGACGGGUAGCCGGCCUGAGAGGGCGACCGGCCACACUGGGACUGAGACACGGCCCAGACUCCUACGGGAGGCAGCAGUGGGGAAUAUUGCGCAAUGGGCGAAAGCCUGACGCAGCGACGCCGCGUGAGGGAUGAAGGCC